AGCCCGCUCGCCGGAAGACCAAGGGUUCCUGUCCAACGUUAAUCGGGGCAGGGUGAGUCGACCCCUAAGGCGAGGCCGAAAGGCGUAGUCGAUGGGAAACAGGUUAAUAUUCCUGUACUUGGUGUUACUGCGAAGGGGGGACGGAGAAGGCUAUGUUGGCCGGGCGACGGUUGUCCCGGUUUAAGCGUGUAGGCUGGUUUUCCAGGCAAAUCCGGAAAAUCAAGGCUGAGGCGUGAUGACGAGGCACUACGGUGCUGAAGCAACAAAUGCCCUGCUUCCAGGAAAAGCCUCUAAGCAUCAGGUAACAUCAAAUCGUACCCCAAACCGACACAGGUGGUCAGGUAGAGAAUACCAAGGCGCUUGAGAGAACUCGGGUGAAGGAACUAGGCAAAAUGGUGCCGUAACUUCGGGAGAAGGCACGCUGAUAUGUAGGUGAAGUCCCUCGCGGAUGGAGCUGAAAUCAGUCGAAGAUACCAGCUGGCUGCAACUGUUUAUUAAAAACACAGCACUGUGCAAACACGAAAGUGGACGUAUACGGUGUGACGCCUGCCCGGUGCCGGAAGGUUAAUUGAUGGGGUUAGCGGUAACGCGAAGCUCUUGAUCGAAGCCCCGGUAAACGGCGGCCGUAACUAUAACGGUCCUAAGGUAGCGAAAUUCCUUGUCGGGUAAGUUCCGACCUGCACGAAUGGCGUAAUGAUGGCCAGGCUGUCUCCACCCGAGACUCAGUGAAAUUGAACUCGCUGUGAAGAUGCAGUGUACCCGCGGCAAGACGGAAAGACCCCGUGAACCUUUACUAUAGCUUGACACUGAACAUUGAGCCUUGAUGUGUAGGAUAGGUGGGAGGCUUUGAAGUGUGGACGCCAGUCUGCAUGGAGCCGGCCUUGAAAUACCACCCUUUAAUGUUUGAUGUUCUAACGUUGGCCCCUGACCGGGGUUGCGGACAGUGUCUGGUGGGUAGUUUGACUGGGGCGGUCUCCUCCUAAAGAGUAACGGAGGAGCACGAAGGUUGGCUAAUCCUGGUCGGACAUCAGGAGGUUAGUGCAAUGGCAUAAGCCAGCUUGACUGCGAGCGUGACGGCGCGAGCAGGUGCGAAAGCAGGUCAUAGUGAUCCGGUGGUUCUGAAUGGAAGGGCCAUCGCUCAACGGAUAAAAGGUACUCCGGGGAUAACAGGCUGAUACCGCCCAAGAGUUCAUAUCGACGGCGGUGUUUGGCACCUCGAUGUCGGCUCAUCACAUCCUGGGGCUGAAGUAGGUCCCAAGGGUAUGGCUGUUCGCCAUUUAAAGUGGUACGCGAGCUGGGUUUAGAACGUCGUGAGACAGUUCGGUCCCUAUCUGCCGUGGGCGCUGGAGAACUGAGGGGGGCUGCUCCUAGUACGAGAGGACCGGAGUGGACGCAUCACUGGUGUUCGGGUUGUCAUGCCAAUGGCACUGCCCGGUAGCUAAAUGCGGAAGAGAUAAGUGCUGAAAGCAUCUAAGCACGAAACUUGCCCCGAGAUGAGUUCUCCCUGACUCCUUGAGAGUCCUGAAGGAACGUUGAAGACGACGACGUUGAUAGGCCGGGUGUGUAAGCGCAGCGAUGCGUUGAGCUAACCGGUACUAAUGAACCGUGAGGCUUAACC
rnacentral:rRNA from 1 species